UGGCGGAUGUCGGCACGUAGAAUUUGUUUUGGGAUAUAACAUCACGGAUUAUCGUAGCAUUUGGACUACGUGAAAGCUAUUUGGUUCACUUAAAUUCAGCACUUUACUGUUAUUGUUGUUUUACCCACCUAGUUAAUUCGUUUUCACGAGAAACCGGGAGAUGCAUCGUCGCGGAGCGGCAAAGAAGGACCACAACAACAAACCAGUGAAGAAGAAGGACGUUAGUGACAGUGAUAAAUACGCCGACCUCUUGGUGUUCGGCUAUGCCUGCAAACUGUUUCCAGACGACGAAAGGGCUCUUUACCACGAACAUGGAAAACAUCUUAUUCCAUGGAUGGGGGACAAGAACAUCAUGAUUGAUAGGUCGGUUGAAUAAACUUAGACCGAAACAUUAUGCUAACCAUCUAUGCUGUCCGUUAGCCUGUUUCACAAUUCAAGGGACCUCUUGGAGUUUGCCUUGCAGAAGCUGGAAAUACCUGCAACUGGCGACUAAUGUUUUACUUCCUGCUUGCUACUUUGUUAUAGGAUGUCAUGAACUGAUACAAAUGAUAUCUGAAGUCACUACAAUAACAUGUGAAGAUGCAAAUCCCUGCCAUACUUGGCUAAAAUUAGCUGUGAUGCUGAACUAAUAAUACACAACCAGUUGCCCAAUGUAUUAGUCACACCAGCUAAAACUAAUGCAGUUUAAUAUAAAAUGCAGUUUAAUAUAAAAUGUAUACAAACAAGGCUUAGCUACCAGUACAGUCUGAACAUAAAGAUAACAUUGUACACUUAAUAAAGUUUCUGCAGAGCUAUUUACUUGCAUUAGUUUGGGCUGUGUAGCUCCUAAACCAGCAAUAGUGUGUAUUUUUGAUACAAAAACAGAGAUCUUUAAAUCUCAUAACCCAAAGAGACACAAUUGUUAGCUUUCAGCAGGACUUUGCAUUUUGACAUGUUUGGGAGAAUUUCCUUUGGAAACUUUAACUUCAGGCAUACAUGAUAUGUAUCAAUAUGGAGUAUAAAACAAAGGAUGUUACUUUUUGUUCUGUCCUUUUUUAAAUUGAGUUUUGCAGAAAAUGCCUAUCUGUACACAAAACACACAACCUGGGUCUUUAUUAUGCGUUGCUUAUAUCCUCAAGGCCAGAGCAAAUUCUAACCAAGACUAAAGUUGCAGCAGUUAAGGUGAUUCAAAAUAUCACAAUGCCUAUGUGAAACAUUGGGGUUUAACUAUCCAACAAAAGGUUUAAAAGUGCUUACAGCCUACCAAGUGUUGCUUCAGGCAAUGUACCAAUGUUUUAUUGCCACCUCCAUGCAGCACAAGUAUUACAUUAGUGCAUUUAUUCUUUGAAUCACCUCGAUCUGCAGUGGCCCAACUUGUGUUUCAUUUGUACAGCCUUUGUAUGUGUGUCUUUAUCACAUAACCCAGUUUUUUCCCCAGCAAGCUAAGCUAAGGGGUCCUGCCAAACCCCGAAAGCCAACUUCAGCACCCCAUUUCUUUGUCUUCAUGAAGAAACUGCAACUGAGAAGUGGCGUAGAGGGACGAACCCUGGAAAAUGUCGUCCAUUUGGGUUCUUACGGAUAGAUACGAUGGGCGUGGUCAUUUACACGACCUUUCAGAGUAUGACAGCGGGUCAUGGAAUACGUCCUACCAGCUGUCGGAGGAGGAGGCC